UACGUAGGGUGCGAGCGUUAAUCGGAAUUACUGGGCGUAAAGCGUGCGCAGGCGGUUGUGUAAGCCAGAUGUGAAAUCCCCGGGCUCAACCUGGGAAUGGCAUUUGGGACUGCACGGCUAGAGUAUGGCAGAGGAGACUAGAAUUCCUGGUGUAGCAGUGAAAUGCGUAGAUAUCAGGAGGAAUACCGAUGGCGAAGGCAGGUCUCUGGGCUGAUACUGACGCUCAUGCACGAAAGCGUGGGGAGCAAACAGG
rnacentral:rRNA from 1 species